GUGGACAGGGGAGCGGAAAGAGCAGGGCUGACGCGCAGAGUAAAGGAGCCCCGUACCUGUUAGGUCUCCAUGCAACGGCCGAGCGGUGUAAAUGGCGCCAGGAUGAGAACAGAAAGGAGAAGAAAGUGUGGUUCGGGCUCUCCUCCUACCUAAUGGCUUCAUUGCAUGCACACGUUUGCUCGUAGAGCAGUGGGCUGGAGGGAGCAGAACACCUUCAGGAUGAUGCGCGACUUUUAGUCUUUUUGUCAAGAAAGGAGCCAAAGUGGAACAGCUACCUCAACAUAGUGGUUUAGAAUUCUGAGAAACUCAUUAAAAACUCUGAGAAAG